rnacentral:rRNA from 1 species
AUUGAACGCUGGCGGAAUGCUUUACACAUGCAAGUCGAACGGCAGCACGGGGCAACCUGGUGGCGAGUGGCGAACGGGUGAGUAAUACAUCGGAACGUGCCCAAUCGUGGGGGAUAACGUAGCGAAAGUUACGCUAAUUCCGCAUACGAUCUACGGAUUAAAGCGGGGGAUCGCAAGACCUCGCGCGAAUGGAGCGGCCGAUGUCAGAUUAGGUAGUUGGUGGGGUAAAGGCUCACCAAGCCGACUAUCUGUAGCUGGUCUGAGAGGACGACCAGCCACACUGGGACUGAGACACGGCCCAGACUCCUACGGGAGGCAGCAGUGGGGAAUUUUGGACAAUGGGCGCAAGCCUGAUCCAGCCAUUCCGCGUGCAGGAUGAAGGCCUUCGGGUUGUAAACUGCUUUUGUACGGAACGAAACGGCGAGCUCUAAUACAGUUUGCUAAUGACGGUACCGUAAGAAUAAGCACCGGCUAACUACGUGCCAGCCGCCGCCGUAAUAC